CACGUAGGGGGCAAGCGUUGUCCGGUAUUUAGUGGCUGAGAAGAGUCGUAGGCGGCUCAGUGAAGUCAGGUGUGAAACCUCCAGGCUCAACCUGGAGACGCCACCUGAUACUGCUGUGGCUAGAGUCCGGUAGGGGAGUGUGGAAUUCCUGUGUAGCGGUGAAAUGCGCAGAUAUCAGGAGGAACACCGGUGGCGAAGGCGGGUCUCUGGGCCGAUACUGACGCUGAGGAGCGAAAGCGUGGGGAGCGAACAGG
rnacentral:rRNA from 1 species